UCGCAGAAAGUGGAGCAAAGUUGUGGCCAUUACUGUGGCCUGCCAGGGAGUGAUGGAGCCGCACGGAAUCCAUCGCAGGAAGUGGAGCAGAGUCGUGGCCGUUACUGUGGCCUGCCAGGGAGUGAUGGAGCCGCGCGGAAUCCGUCGCAGGAAGUGGAGCAGAGUCGUGGCCGUUAUUGUGGCUUGUCAGGGGGUCCCGACCUGUCGGCCGAAGUUCGGUUGGGGUGCCUGGCAGAGAGAGGUAGCUAUCCAUCUGAGAGGAGCUCGGAUGUUGCAAAUCCUGUUGGGUGCCUUGGGCGUCAAGACUGCAUGCGAGGACCGCUUGCCGUAGGAGCUCGGUCAGAGGCUUUCCACAGAUGCAGUCCGAUUUUGUGCAGACUUCGGCUGAGGGUCGACUGACGGUGGA
rnacentral:lncRNA from 1 species